ACGGGACACCUGCAUCUGCCAACAAGACUGGAAGCAGAAAGGGACAGAGACGGCGAAGUUUGACGGUCUGGAAAGCAGAGACCAGCAGGGCUGACUGCUUGGGAGCACCAAAUAUCCGGACAGCGCCUCUCGGGAGGUCCGAGAAGAGAACCGCGAUCUGUUUCAGCACCGGGGCUCAGGACAGUUCCCAGCGGGCUCCGUUUCGUCUCCAGAACCCUGGACAGCUCCUCCAGUAGAGACGGGGUUUCACCAUGUUGGCCAGGCUGGUCUCAAACUCUUGACCUCUUCAUCCGUCCACCUCAGCCUCCCAAAGUGCUAGGAUUACAGGCGUGAGUCACUGCGCCUGGCCCAAGUCCGGAAUUUUCAACAGCUUGGAAUGCACUCCCUCCACCUCCAACCAGAGCUCCCCACAACUGACCCUGCCUUCUUCUGCAAGCUCCAUUUCAUCAAGGGAAACGAUCCUUAUUGCCUCACCAUUUCCCACGUGAAGUCUGUAUUGACAUUCUCAUAGACCUGGGAUAUUGUGUCUGCAGCACAUAGUCCAAUUAUUUUCAUGUUAUCUACUGACAGGUCUAUUUGUCUCCCUGUUACACUGUGAGCUCCGUGAGGGCAGAAACAAUGUUAGUAUUUUCACUGCUGUGUCCCCAGCGCCUGGUCCGGGGCCCGGCACACAGCAGGCAUAUAAUAAGCAUGUGUUGAAUCAAUAAAGGCAUCAAAGAAUAAA
rnacentral:lncRNA from 1 species